rnacentral:lncRNA from 1 species
CUGCAAAGAGCACUGGGAGAGGCGAUCAUGAUGAGCAAUCACCCUCAUCAGCAGAGGUGAGAAGGGCCUCUCUCUCACUUACUCCCGGCUUCACACUGGUUGCCCCUGAGGGUCACAGGCUGAGCGCUUGGUUCUGGUAGUACUGGGGCAUCAGGUCUCUCCUUGUACCUGCAACGGGAAGACAUAGAACAUGGAUGUGUGCAUGCUCAUGGAUAUUUAUGUGUGCAUACAUGAAGACUGGGUAGACUCGGGCAGGGGGUGGAAGUCCCACUUCUAUCAUUGGGGGGAUGUUGGUGGGUAUCAAAUUGUAAGAUGCUCGCUUGUGCCCUCUGAUGCGGUCAUUCCACUUUCUGGGCAUUAUCUUAAUGUAAUCCAGUGUCCGUGAUGCUAAUAUUUCUUAUUUCAUUGUUCAUCCAUCAGCUAUCUAAUGAGCUUCGGCUGCAUUCCAGGGACUGUUCAGGGGGGUCAAGAAGCAGCAACGAACAAGACAGAUUGGUUCUUGCUUUCCAGUAGCUUGCGUUCUAACAUGGGAGGCAGAUGAUGAUCAGGAGACUACAGAGCAGCUAGCCCCUUCUUUCUGGUGAGCCUGCAGCGUGAAGAUGUACAAUUUGAAGAAGUCAGGCCCUCACCAGGUGACCUCAUUUGCUUUCUACAGCUGCAAUAAAUACCAUGACCAAAAUCAACUUGGGAAGGAUAAGGUUUCUUUCAUUUUACACCUCCUGGAUUGAAGUCCAUCAUGAAUCCCAGGCAGAUCCAGGGAGGCAGGGACCAAAACAGAUGCGGUGGAGGAAUGCUGCUUACUGGUGUCCUCCUCAUGGCUUGCUCGGUUUGCUUUCUAUACAACCUAGGACCAUCUACCAUUGUCCACAUUACUUGACUAUGGCUGUGAAGAGACACCAUGUCCACGGCAACUUCCAGAAGAGUUUGUUGGGGGCUUCCAGUGUCCAAGGGUGAGCUCGUGACCCUCACAGUGGCGAGCACGGCAACAGGUA